rnacentral:tRNA from 1 species
UCCCAGAUGUCUUAAUGGGUAAAGAAUCUGCCUACAAAGCAGGAGAUGUAAGAGACAUGGGUUCAAUCCCUGAGUGGGGAA